rnacentral:misc_RNA from 1 species
UGGGCACCAGUGCGAGAACGA